ACGGGAGGCAGCAGUGGGGAAUAUUGGACAAUGGAGGAAACUCUGAUCCAGCGACGCCGCGUGAGUGAAGAAGUAUUUCGGUAUGUAAAGCUCUAUCAGCAGGGAAGAUAAUGACGGUACCUGACUAAGAAGCCCCGGCUAACUACGUGCCAGCAGCCGCGGUAAUACGUAGGGGGCAAGCGUUAUCCGGAUUUACUGGGUGUAAAGGGAGCGUAGACGGUAUGGCAAGUCUGAUGUGAAAACCCGGGGCUCAACCCCGGGACUGCAUUGGAAACUGUCAAACUAGAGUGCAGGAGAGGUAAGUGGAAUUCCUAGUGUAGCGGUGAAAUGCGUAGAUAUUAGGAGGAACACCAGUGGCGAAGGCGGCUUACUGGACGAUAACUGACGUUGAGGCUCGAAAGCGUGGGGAGCAAACAGGAUUAGAUACCCUGGUA
rnacentral:rRNA from 1 species